GUUUCCAAACAGUGAAGGAGGUUUUUCCAAACUCAUCCCUAAUUGAACAUGAGGAUGAAUUGGCAUUAGGCGAACACAGUCAGUUAUUCAGUCUACCACCUGACAGUGUGUUAAAGUUAAAUUCUGUUAGUGCUGCACUAAAAGAAUUGUUAGUAAUAAGUCCAUGCAGCGAAGGAAUUGAACAACUGUGGGACCGUAUUUGGGCUGAAAAUGGGUGUGGUACGGAAACCCAGAAAUAGCAUGAGUUCAACAUAAAACAUGAAUUAGAAUUCUAGUGGGGGAUCAAGUCAAGUCUAGAAGUGUUACAGGAUGGAAGAGUGAGCCUACAGUUGAAAAACACUGAAAGUGCAUUACCAUUAAGGUAUGAGGUAAAGUAAUAGAGUAUGCAAAUUGUCUAAUGAGAAGUACCAUCUUGUGUGAAUGAAUCCUGUGUAACAGCAAUCCUUUAUAGUUCUGUUAUAGCUAGAAGCCUCAAAUAAUUCUGCUUCUCUUGCUAAAGAACAACUUGUCCUUUACACUCAGAGUGUUGGUGAAGCUGGGUACUUAAAUGGCCCUAAAGAUGUUUCACUUCACUGGCAUUGCAGCGAUGAACAUCAUACAUGGACUCUUUAGGAAAGGAUUUUCAGCAUACUGGGAACACAACUAUCAACAAUGCAACAUUCUAGGGGUGUUAUUUUAUCCUUCAAGAGCCUUAUACAAUGAUUUUCAUCUACAAUUUGUAUGGCCUUUCCCGAGCUUCUGCCAGAAGUUGAAUCUAUGAGUCAUGUAAGUCACAUGAGCAACAAUUGAGAUGCUUAAUGGUGUUGUUUUUCUUUUCUCAGUGUAGGUUAAUAGUAACAUUGGAUCUGAAAAAAUUCUUGGUUGGGGCAAGACACUGAAUAAAUUGUA